rnacentral:rRNA from 1 species
AGUGAACGCUGGCGGUAGGCCUAACACAUGCAAGUCGAACGGCAGCACAGUAAGAGCUUGCUCUUACGGGUGGCGAGUGGAGGACGGGUGAGGAAUACAUCGGAAUCUACUUUUUCGUGGGGGAUAACGUAGGGAAACUUACGCUAAUACCGCAUACGACCUACGGGUGAAAGCAGGGGAUCUUCGGACCUUGCGCGAUUGAAUGAGCCGAUGUCGGAUUAGCUAGUUGGCGGGGUAAAGGCCCACCAAGGCGACGAUCCGUAGCUGGUCUGAGAGGAUGAUCAGCCACACUGGAACUGAGACACGGUCCAGAAUCCUACGGGAGGCAGAAGUGGGGAAUAUUGGACAAUGGGCGCAAGCCUGAUCCAGCCAUACCGCGUGGGUGAAGAAGGCCUUCGGGUUGUAAAGCCCUUUUGUUGGGAAAGAAAAGCAGCAGGUUAAUACCCCGCUGUUCUGACGGUACCCAAAGAAUAAGCACCGGCUAACUUCGUG